UACGAAGGGGGCUAGCGUUGCUCGGAAUUACUGGGCGUAAAGGGCGCGUAGGCGGCACUGUUAGUCAGGCGUGAAAGUCCUGGGCUCAACCUGGGAACUGCGCUUGAUAUGGCAGAGCUAGAGGAUGGAAGAGGGUCGCGGAAUUCCCAGUGUAGAGGUGAAAUUCGUAGAUAUUGGGAAGAACACCGGUGGCGAAGGCGGCGACCUGGUCCAUUACUGACGCUGAGGCGCGACAGCGUGGGGAGCAAACAGG
rnacentral:rRNA from 1 species